GAAGAGGCGGGAGGGGCCCACGGAAAGAGUUAUCUUUUCUGCUUAGCGGCCUGCCAACCCUGGAAACGGUGUGGCCGGAGGUAGGGUCCAGUGGCCGGAAGAGCACCGCACGUCGCGCGGUGUCCGGUGCGCCCCCGGCGGCCCAUGAAAAUCC
rnacentral:ncRNA from 1 species